UGCAGGAUGAACUAAUGGUUAAGUUACUAGCCUCAUAAGCUAGGUAUUGUGAGUUCAAAUCUCACUCCUGCAACCA
rnacentral:tRNA from 1 species